CAAUAGCGUAUAUUUAAGUUGUUGCAGUUAAAAAGCUCGUAGUUGGAUUUCGGUUAAGAGCGACCGGUCCGCCGUUUGGUGUGCACUGGUUGGUUUUAACUUCCUGUAGAGGACGUGCUCUGGGUUUAACGACCUGGACUCGGAGUCUACGUGGUUACUUUGAAAAAAUUAGAGUGUUCAAAGCGGGCUUACGCUUGAAUAUUUCAGCAUGGAAUAACACUAUAGGACUCCUGUCCUAUUUCGUUGGUCUCGGGACGGGAGUAAUGAUUAAGAGGAACAGUUGGGGGCAUUCGUAUUUCAUUGUCAGAGGCGAAAUUCUUGGAUUUAUGAAAGACGAACUUCUGCGAAAGCAUUUGCCAAGGAUGUUUUCAUUAA
rnacentral:rRNA from 1 species